rnacentral:lncRNA from 1 species
GAGUCCGACAGAGGGUCGACCGGCAGUGGACUUCGGAUAGCAUUGCGGAGGUUCGUCCGCUGAAGGAGUCUGAAGGGUCCUGUGGAAGUUCGGUUGGCAUUGUUGAAAUCUGUAUGGGGACUGCUUAUUGAAGAAGCUCGACUGAAGUCCGUCUGUAAUAGGAGUUCGGAAGGAAUUCGUUUAGAGUAUAAGUUCGGAUGGAAUUCACUUACAGUAGAGAUCCGGAGUAGACCGCUCGUAGUAGAAGUUUGAAGUAGACUGCUUGUAGUAGAGGUUCGGAGUAGAGAUUCUGCUAGUGGAGGCUGUUCGUCAUAGAAGCUCGUUUGUGAUCCACCCACUGUAGAAAUCUGGAUGGAGCCCGGCCCUGGUAGGAGUUCGGAUGAAGUCCACCUACAAUAGAAAUUUGGGGUAGAGGUCCAGCUCUCGCAGGAGCUUGGGUAAAAUUCAGAAGGCGGUC